AUUGAACGCUGGCGGCAUGCCUUACACAUGCAAGUCGAACGGCAGCACGGGAGCAAUCCUGGUGGCGAGUGGCGAACGGGUGAGUAAAGUAUCGGAACGUGCCCAGUCGUGGGGGAUAACGUAGCGAAAGUUACGCUAAUACCGCAUACGAUCUAUGGAUGAAAGCGGGGGAUCGCAAGACAUCGCGCGAUUGGAGCGGCCGAUAUCAGAUUAGGUAGUUGGUGGGGUAAAGGCCCACCAAGCCGACGAUCUGUAGCUGGUCUGAGAGGACGACCAGCCACACUGAGACUGAGACACGGCCCAGACUCCUACGGGAGGCAGCAGUGGGGAAUUUUGGACAAUGGGCGAAAGCCUGAUCCAGCCAUGCCGCGUGCAGGAUGAAGGCCUUCGGGUUGUAAACUGCUUUUGUACGGAACGAAAAGGACUGCCCUAAUACGGUGGUCCCAUGACGGUACCGUAAGAAUAAGCACCGGCUAACUACGUGCCAGCCGCCGCCGUAA
rnacentral:rRNA from 1 species